rnacentral:rRNA from 1 species
UACGUAGGGUGCAAGCGUUGUCCGGAAUUAUUGGGCGUAAAGAGCUUGUAGGCGGUUUGUCGCGUCUGCUGUGAAAUUUCGGGGCUCAACCCCGAACUUGCAGUGGGUACGGGCAGACUAGAGUGUGGUAGGGGAGACUGGAAUUCCUGGUGUAGCGGUGAAAUGCGCAGAUAUCAGGAGGAACACCGGUGGCGAAGGCGGGUCUCUGGGCCGAUAUUGACGCUGAGGAGCGAAAGCGUGGGGAGCAAACAGG